UAGUAUUAUAUAACCUUAAUAUAUAAAGGGCGUAUUUGGUUGGGGUAUUAUGUCAGAAUUACAGAUAAUUCUGUCAAGAUUAUUGUGUUUGAUUCAUCCGGUCUGUAAUCUGCUCGAUAAUAUAAUAUAUUAUAAUUACAAAUGGUGCAAGAUUAUUGCGAAAAUAUUAUCUAGCGCGAAGGUGGGUAUCUCGUAUUACUAAUAAUGAAUAAUCUUGCAUGUUAUGUAAAGCUAUAAAUUUAUCCCUCCAACACUCAAAUUCUUUUAAUACGUCAUUUAUAUAUAUAUUCCUCUCUUUCGAACUCUCCUAUUUUACU
rnacentral:lncRNA from 1 species